GGUCCCGGGGGCGGGGCCUGAACGCGGACUCCAGGGCGCCGGGCUCCCACCCCAAGUCUCCCGCAGCUUCCCGGCGGUGGGCGUCGCUGGCAGCCAGAACAAGUAGCUCCCGCCCUCGCCGCGGGUCUGCUUCUGGGGAGGCAUCGCACAGGUUGGGGGGAGGUUUGGCUCCGCCUCUCAUCUGGGCCUUCCCCCGACACACCCAAAUGGAAGGGGACAUCGGUCAGUGAAUCAGCCGGCCCAAGGAGAGGUUUGGAGUUACAGGCAAGGAGAACCGAUGGACCCGAGAAAGGUGGGCUCCAUGGCACCUGGCCAUCGGGACUACACCCAAACUCUCGGGGAGGAAGCGAAAUGAACCCUUCUGUACUCGCUCGGGCUGCUGGAGGUUUGGGGACCCUGGUAAGGUGCGCCGGCCCCACAGGCCGCACUUUUCCGACCCUUGGCAUCGGAGAAGGAGCAUUCGGACUUGGACAGUCCAGACGCACCCAUCCUGGCCUGACAGCUGCAGAGCAAGAAGCACCUGAUGACGGGACUCAGGCAAAUUUCACCUGAGCAUCCUGAUUGCACCAGCUCAGGCUCCCAGCCAACCAAAGCAGUGCCACCUGUUGAUUGAGGUUUCUCAAAUCCUAGCCACACUGCACAUGGCAUUGAACUAACAGAGAUAAAAGAACUGCUUAUACCCACCAUUAAGGAGAGCGAAUCAGGGCUUCCCUGGUGGCGCAGUGGUUGAGAAUCUGCCUGCCAAUGCAGGGGACACGGGUUCGAGCCCUGGUCUGGGAAGAUCCCACAUGCCGCGGAGCGACUGGGCCCGUGAGCCACAAUUACUGAGCCUGCGCGUCUGGAGCCUGUGCUCCACAACAAGAGAGGCCGCGAUAGUGAGAGGCCCGCGCACUGCGAUGAAGAAUGGCCCCCACUUGCUGCAACUGGAGAAAGCCCUCACACAGAAACGAAGACCCAACACAGCCAUAAAUACAUAAAUAAAUAAAUAAAAU